rnacentral:rRNA from 1 species
GACAGAGGGUGCAAACGUUGUCCGGAAUUACUGGGCGUAAAGCGUGUGUAGGCGGCUACGUAAGUCGGAUGUGAAAGCCCCAGGCUCAACCUGGGAAGUGCACUCGAUACUGCGUAGCUUGAGUAUCGGAGAGGUUGGUGGAAUUCUCGGUGUAGAGGUGAAAUUCGUAGAUAUCGAGAGGAACACCGGUGGCGAAGGCGGCCAACUGGACGAAUACUGACGCUGAGACACGAAAGCGUGGGGAGCAAACAGG